rnacentral:rRNA from 1 species
GAUGAACGCUGGCGGCGUGCCUAAUACAUGCAAGUCGAGCGGACAGGCGAGGAGCUUGCUCCUCUGACGUUAGCGGCGGACGGGUGAGUAACACGUGGAUAACCUACCUAUAAGACUGGGAUAACUUCGGGAAACCGGAGCUAAUACCGGAUAAUAUAUUGAACCGCAUGGUUCAAUAGUGAAAGACGGUUUUGCUGUCACUUAUAGAUGGAUCCGCGCCGCAUUAGCUAGUUGGUAAGGUAACGGCUUACCAAGGCAACGAUGCGUAGCCGACCUGAGAGGGUGAUCGGCCACACUGGAACUGAGACACGGUCCAGACUCCUACGGGAGGCAGCAGUAGGGAAUCUUCCGCAAUGGGCGAAAGCCUGACGGAGCAACGCCGCGUGAGUGAUGAAGGUCUUCGGAUCGUAAAACUCUGUUAUUAGGGAAGAACAAAUGUGUAAGUAACUAUGCACGUCUUGACGGUACCUAAUCAGAAAGCCACGGCUAACUACGUG